UACGAAGGGGGCUAGCGUUGUUCGGAUUUACUGGGCGUAAAGCGCACGUAGGCGGACUAUUAAGUCAGGGGUGAAAUCCUGGAGCUCAACUCCAGAACUGCCUUUGAUACUGGCGAUCUUGAGUCCGGAAGAGGUGAGUGGAACUCCUAGUGUAGAGGUGGAAUUCGUAGAUAUUAGGAAGAACACCAGUGGCGAAGGCGGCUCACUGGUCCGGUACUGACGCUGAGGUGCGAAAGCGUGGGGAGCAAACAGG
rnacentral:rRNA from 1 species